rnacentral:rRNA from 1 species
UAUUUUAUAUGAGAGUUUGAUCCUGGCUCAGGAUGAACGCCGGCGGUGUGCCUAAUACAUGCAAGUCGUACGCACUGGCCCAACUGAUUGAUGGUGCUUGCACCGGAUUGACGAUGGAUCACCAGUGAGUGGCGGACGGGUGAGUAACACGUAGGUAACCUGCCCCCGGAGCGGGGGAUAACA